GAUGAACGCUGGCGGCGUGCCUAAUACAUGCAAGUCGAGCGAACAGACGAGGAGCUUGCUCCUCUGACGUUAGCGGCGGACGGGUGAGUAACACGUGGAUAACCUACCUAUAAGACUGGGAUAACUUCGGGAAACCGGAGCUAAUACCGGAUAAUAUAUUGAACCGCAUGGUUCAAUAGUGAAAGACGGUUUUGCUGUCACUUAUAGAUGGAUCCGAGCCGCAUUAGCUAGUUGGUAAGGUAACGGCUUACCAAGGCAACGAUGCGUAGCCGACCUGAGAGGGGGAGCGGCGACAUGGGAAAUGAGACACGGGUCAGACGGCGAAGGGAGGCAGCAGGAGGUAAGAUUGUGAAAGGUGGGUAAGCAUGAAAGCGUAAAGCAGAGGGAAGGAAGAAGGGGUACGGACUUGAAAACCCUGCGAGGUGGGAAGAACAAAAGGGCAAGGAACGCGGCAGAGAGUGAGGCGAGUUAAUAAGAAAGAGAGCGAGCGCUUGGUC
rnacentral:rRNA from 1 species